UGUAUCCACUACUGUAAGUUGCUCUGGAUAAGAGCGUCUGCUAAAAGACAAAAA
rfam:Salmo salar isolate Sally breed double haploid chromosome ssa04, whole genome shotgun sequence.